AGAGUUUGAUCCUGGCUCAGGAUGAACGCUGGCGGCGUGCUUAACACAUGCAAGUCGAACGAACCUUCGGGUUAGUGGCGGACGGGUGAGUAACGCGUGGGAAUCUGCCCUCAGGAGGGGGAUAACGGCUGGAAACGGCCGCUAAUACCCCAUAUGCCGAGAGGUGAAAUGAAUUUCGCCUGAGGAUGAGCCCGCGUCUGAUUAGCUAGUUGGUGAGGUAAGAGCUCACCAAGGCAUCGAUCAGUAGCUGGUCUGAGAGGAUGAUCAGCCACACUGGGACUGAGACACGGCCCAGACUCCUACGGGAGGCAGCAGUGGGGAAUUUUCCGCAAUGGGCGAAAGCCUGACGGAGCAACGCCGCGUGAGGGAUGAAGGCCUCUGGGCUGUAAACCUCUUUUCUCAAGGAAGAAGAUCUGACGGUACUUGAGGAAUAAGCCACGGCUAAUUCCGUGCCAGCAGCCGCGGUAAUACGGGAGUGGCAAGCGUUAUCCGGAAUUAUUGGGCGUAAAGCGUCCGCAGGCGGCCCUUCAAGUCUGCUGUUAAAGCGUGGAGCUUAACUCCAUCAUGGCAGUGGAAACUGUUGGGCUUGAGUGUGGUAGGGGCAGAGGGAAUUCCCGGUGUAGCGGUGAAAUGCGUAGAUAUCGGGAAGAACACCAGUGGCGAAGGCGCUCUGCUGGGCCAUAACUGACGCUCAUGGACGAAAGCCAGGGGAGCGAAAGGGAUUAGAUACCCCUGUAGUCCUGGCCGUAAACGAUGAACACUAGGUGUCGGGGGAAUCGACCCCCUCGGUGUCGUAGCCAACGCGUUAAGUGUUCCGCCUGGGGAGUACGCACGCAAGUGUGAAACUCAAAGGAAUUGACGGGGGCCCGCACAAGCGGUGGAGUAUGUGGUUUAAUUCGAUGCAACGCGAAGAACCUUACCAGGGUUUGACAUCCUGCGAAUCUCUUGGAAACGAGAGAGUGCCUUCGGGAACGCAGUGACAGGUGGUGCAUGGCUGUCGUCAGCUCGUGUCGUGAGAUGUUGGGUUAAGUCCCGCAACGAGCGCAACCCACGUCUUUAGUUGCCAGCAUUUAGUUGGGCACUCUAGAGAGACCGCCGGUGAUAAACCGGAGGAAGGUGUGGAUGACGUCAAGUCAUCAUGCCCCUUACAUCCUGGGCUACACACGUACUACAAUGCUACGGACAAAGAGCAGCAAGUUCGCGAGGACAAGCAAAUCUCAUAAACCGUGGCUCAGUUCAGAUCGUAGGCUGCAACUCGCCUACGUGAAGGAGGAAUCGCUAGUAAUCGCAGGUCAGCAUACUGCGGUGAAUACGUUCCCGGGCCUUGUACACACCGCCCGUCACACCAUGGAAGUUGGCCACGCCCGAAGCCGUUACUCCAACCCUUGUGGAGGAGGACGUCGAAGGUGGGGCCGAUGACUGGGGUGAAGUCGUAACAAGGUAACC
rnacentral:rRNA from 1 species